GAGAGCCGGAUGCGGGAGAUCCGCCAGUCCGGUUCGGAGGGAGGGGGGACCGGCACAACCGAUCCUCCCUACCCCUAU
rfam:Fimbriiglobus ruber strain SP5 contig17, whole genome shotgun sequence.